AUACUUCGACAGCACAUAUACUAAAAACUGAAUGAUAUAGACAAGAUUAGUGUGGCCCUGCACAAGGACAACAUGCAGAUUCAUGAAGCAGUCCCUUUUUUG
ensembl:snRNA U6 U6 spliceosomal RNA